ensembl:lncRNA
GAGGUUCUCUCUCUCCUCACACACUCCCCCUCCCAUUCUAACCAAGGUAAUUGAGAGAGUGGCCUCCUGACUACUGCUGUGUUUUAUUUCACCAAACUGACCUUUAGUAAUGGGUUAGAGUUGGAUUAUCUUAGUAUCCCGAGUUUGUCCUGGAAGCAGACACUUUGGGUGUGCUCAAGAAUUGUUUACGAUCUCUUUGACUAUGUUCGGUUCUAUCUGGAUGGAUCUUUCCUGCUAGAUUAUCAUUCUUAGAGGGUAGAGACCACAUUUUUCAUCCCUUGCCAACACUACCCUGGCUAAUUAGAAGCAAGCACAUAGUAGAUAAGUACCCAAAGUAUUGGAGUCAGAAAAAGCAGAACUGAGUGCUGAUUCUGCCACAGUACAGGCUUGAAAUUGGAGAAGGGGGAGUAAAAAUGAUCGAGAAACUUGGAAGUGUUAGUUUCUGAGAAAGGACACACCAUCUACCUUCUGGUCCCUGAAUAUUCUCCUUGUGGAAGGGAUGAGGGCAAGAGAAGAGCUAUGGCCUUCUGGAAGGUGAAAGAUGCCUUAGCUUCUGGGACUGGGGAACAGGAAGAAUAACCAAGGCAGAUUCUUUACUUCUGUGCCACCCGGGAAGCUCUAGAGACUGAGAACUGAAACUACUGAAGCCCAGGUGCCCUAGAGCCCUUGCUCCACAAGAGAAGCCACUGCAAUGAGAAACCUGAGCGUUACAACUGGAAGGUACUUCACUGGCCACAACUAGAGAAAAGCCCACAUAGCAAUGAAGACCCGGCACCACCAAAA